CCGCGUGAGUGAUGAAGGCUUUCGGGUCGUAAAGCUCUGUCAAGUGGGAAGAAUUCCCAUGAGGUUAAUAUCCUCAUGGUUUGACGGUACCACUGAAGGAAGCACCGGCUAACUCCGUGCCAGCAGCCGCGGUAAUACGGGGGGUGCAAGCGUUAUUCGGAUUUACUGGGCGUAAAGCGCGCGUAGGCGGCUGUUUAAGUCAGAUGUGAAAGCCCGGGGCUCAACCCCGGAAGUGCAUUUGAUACUAUUCGGCUUGAGUAUGGGAGAGGGAAGUGGAAUUCCUGGUGUAGAGGUGAAAUUCGUAGAUAUCAGGAGGAACCCGGUGGCGAAGGCGACUUCCUGGACCAAUACUGACGCUGAGGCGCGAAGCGUGGGGAGCAAACAGGAUUAGAUACCUGGUAGUCCNGCAGUAAACGGUGAUCCUAGUGUAGCGGGUAUUGACCCCUGCUGUGCCGCACUACGCAUUAAGUGAUCCGCUGGGAGUACGC
rnacentral:rRNA from 1 species